rnacentral:lncRNA from 1 species
AUUUGAUUUGGCAAUGAUUAUACAAUGUCCUUUUCUUUUUCUACCUGCAUUUGGAGAGACAAUAAAAGACUGGGGCAAGAGAAAGGCGAGUGGAGAGAGUGAGGUGCGCAUGAGGCCUGCAUGAGAUAUCCCUGCUUCCAGUUGAGAGCUCUGAUCCUGUUUCGAGGCUGGACCCUGACAGUGAUGCCUCAAACAAAGACAAACUUUACACAGUGCACAUGAGAUCACCCCAACACUGGGCCUUUGAGCCCAUGUUUUCACAGGCUCACUCAGUUUCCUGGUCGACUACUGUAUGAGUGUCAGCUUACCUUCCCACAAGUCCUGACUGAGCCACCCCACCCUGCCUUCCCUGCCAAGACGCCUUUCCCAAGAACCAGGAGCCUAAAACAUCUUUGCUCACUCAGGGAGCUUCUGUCUGGUAUUUAGGCACAACAUGAACAGAGUAACUAAUGCAUGACAAAGUCUGGUGUAUGGGAGGACAUUCUCAUCAGGACGGCAACCAGAUCCCAGGGGUCAGAAUUUAGCAUCUGAGUACAUAGCAUCACCUGGCCAAACCCCAGAAGUCUGAAGCCAACCUAAACUGGAUUAUAAAACCCUGUCUCAAAAAGAAAAGGGGGGGGGGAGGAGGUGGAAGAGGAGAACGAGAAGAGGAAGAGGAGGAAGGGAAGGGAAGAAGGUAGAGGAAAGAAUGA